CACGUAGGGCGCAAGCGUUAUCCGGAAUUAUUGGGCGUAAAGAGCUCGUAGGCGGUCUGUUGCGUCCGCUGUGAAAACUCGGGGCUUAACCCCGAGCCUGCAGUGGAUACGGGCAGACUAGAGGUAGGUAGGGGAGAAUGGAAUUCCCGGUGUAGCGGUGAAAUGCGCAGAUAUCGGGAGGAACACCGGUGGCGAAGGCGGUUCUCUGGGACGGUACUGACGCUGAGACGCGAAAGCGUGGGGAGCGAACAGG
rnacentral:rRNA from 1 species